GACGAACGCUGGCGGCGUGCUUAACACAUGCAAGUCGAACGGAAAGUCCCUGCUUUUGUGGGGUGCUCGAUUGGCGAACGGGUGAGUAACACGUAAUUAACCUGCCCUUGCCUUUGGGAUAACUUCAGGAAACUGGGGCUAAUACCGGAUAGGAGCUCCUGCUGCUUGGUGGUGGUUGGAAAUUUUCGGCGGUUUGGGAUGGACUCGCGGCCAAUCAGCCUGUUGGUGGGGUAGUGGAUUCCCAAGUCUUUGACGGGUCGCCGGCCUGAGAGGUUGACCGGCACCAGUGGGAUUGAGGUGCCGCCGAUAGUCCUACGUGAGGCAGCAGUGAGGAAUAGUGCACGAUGGGCGGAAGCCGGAAGCAAGAACGCCGCGUGCGGGAGGACGGCCGUCGGGUUGGAAAGCGCGUGCGCCUGGAACGAAGAGUGAGUGACGGUAAUUGGUAAAGAAGCACCGGCUAACUACGUG
rnacentral:rRNA from 1 species